AGGUGGAAAUUGAUGCAGGGACAUCACGAAGAUGGAAUGGUUCAGAUCCAAGCCCCCCUGAUUCUAAACGCCAAAAGGUUUUGCAAUGGUGAACUGCCUAAGUGAUAUUAGUAUUCCCAUUGAGGGCGUUACUUUCCAUCUUCAUAAGUGUGCCUUCUCUGGCAUGGUUCAUGUCAUAUCAAGAAACCAGUUUUGUCACUAUUUGUCAAAGGCUUUUUGCCAAUCCUCUCAGGGUGUGGUUUCACUAUGGCCAUCCAGAUGUAUUUGACAGAUCAUUUUUUAUGUAAUUAGAUGAUAUUGAAAUAUUGAAGUUGUU